CAGCCGCGGUAAUACGAAGGGACCUAGCGUAGUUCGGAAUUACUGGGCUUAAAGAGUUCGUAGGUGGUUAAAAUAGUUGGUGGUGAAAUCCCAGAGCUUAACUCUGGAACUGCCAUCAAAACUUUUUAGCUAGAGUAUGAUAGAGGAAAGCAGAAUUUCUAGUGUAGAGGUGAAAUUCGUAGAUAUUAGAAAGAAUACCGAUUGCGAAGGCAGCUUUCUGGAUCAUUACUGACACUGAGGAACGAAAGCAUGGGUAGCGAAGAGGAUUAGAUACCCUCGUAGUCCAUGCCGUAAACGAUGUGUGUUAGACGUUGGAAAUUUAUUUUCAGUGUCGCAGCGAAAGCGAUAAACACACCGCCUGGGGAGUACGACCGCAAGGUUAAAACUCAAAUGAAUUGACGGGGACCCGCACAAGUAGUGGAGCAUGUGGUUUAAUUCGAAGAUACGCGCAGAACCUUACCAACACUUGACAUGUUCGUCGCGACUCUAAGAGAUUAGAGUUUUCGGUUCGGCCGGACGAAACACAGGUGCUGCAUGGCUGUCGUCAGCUCGUGUCGUGAGAUGUUGGGUUAAGUCCCGCAACGAGCGCAACCCUCACUUUUAGUUGCCAUCAUUAAGUUGGGCACUCUGAAAGAACUGCCAGUGAUAAGCUGGAGGAAGGUGGGGAUGACGUCAAGUCCUCAUGGCCCUUACGUGUUGGGCUACACACGUGCUACAAUGGCAUUUACAAUAGGAAGCAAAAUGGCGACAUUAAGCAAAUCCUAAAAAAAUGCCUCAGUUCGGAUUGUACUCUGCAACUCGAGUACAUGAAGCUGGAAUUACUAGUAAUCGCGGAUCAGCGCGCCGCGGUGAAUACGUUCCCGGGUCUUGUACACACCGCCCGUCACACCAUGGGAGUUGGUUCUACCUUAAGGCAAAGU
rnacentral:rRNA from 1 species